GUGCUCGCUUCGGCAGCACAUAUACUAAAAUUGGAAUGAUACAGAGAAGAUUAGCAUGGCCCCUGUGCAAGGAAUGACACACCCAGGUGAGGUAAAAUCUAGAAGCAC